GGCACUGUGCCCCAGGCUCCAGUCCAGAACAAGUCACUUUACACCAAAGGGAAGGAUAACCAGUAUGCCCCUCCCCAAAGUGCUGUGGGUACUCAUAGCCUUCAGCUGCCUUGGACUUGGCUCAGCACCGACGGUCACUCAAAGCCCACCAGUCGUAUCUGUGCAGGAGGGGCAGACUGCGACUCUUAAUUGCAAGUAUUCCACCAGUGACGCUACUUAUUUUUUAUUCUGGUACAAGCAGUCUCCCGGUGGGGAGCUGAUUUUCCUUAUUCGUCAGGAUUCUUACGGCGCACAGAAUGUGAGUGAGGGCCGAUAUUCGGUAAACUUUCAGAAAGCGGCAGCCUCCAUCAGGCUCAUGAUCUCUGCCUCCCAGCUGGGGGACGCUGCAGUGUAUUUCUGCGUUCUAAGACAGGCACAGUGAGAAGUGUGGAAAGCACAGUUGUACAAAAACGUCAGCAAAGGAGAGAUCAUCGGAGACUUGCAACAGAAUCCAACAGAUGUCCAGAAACCCUGAGAGGAAGUGGGCUGAGAACCAAGGAUGGCUGUGCAUAGUUCAGCUGAGAGGCUGGGAAGGAAACCAUUGACUUUAUCCCAGGAAACACACCCUCAUAGUUGAAGUUGACCUCAAGGAAUUUACAGUGACGUUUGUGAAUCAUAUUCUUCAAAAGUAUUCACAUUCUUGAGCCCUUCUCCUCCCACAAUCAAGUAAUAGAUAAAUGAGUGCACCCAACGAAGUUUUCAGAAAGUUUCUCAUGUUAGUAUUGAGGGAAGGCAAAAAUAUCACAAUAUCUGGAAUCAGGAAGAAAGACCUGAAUUCAAAUUUAGUCUCAGACAUUUUUAAUAGCUGUGUGUCCCUGGAUAAGUCAUUUAACCUCUGUUUGCCUUAGUUUUCUAUAGUGUUAAAUGGGAAUAAUAAUAAUACCUACCUACCAGAGCUAUUGUGAGGAUAAAGUGAAAUAAUAAUCAUAAAGUGCUUAGCACAGUGCCUGGUACAUAGUAAACACUACAUGUUAACUAUCCUUAUUAUUAUAUUUAUAAUUCAAUGUCUGUCUAUAGGUAUCUUUUUAUCUCUGUAUCAUACUUUCUCAUCCUUUGCUAUCAUCUAUUUAAUACUUGAAAGUAGGUAGAAAUUGUUCUGUUUUCUUCUAUCUUUGUAUCCUCCAAACCUAGCAUAAUCUUAAUGCACCAUAAG